CGUCGGUAAGAAAGCUUCUGAUAAUGGGCAUCGAUUGGCUACCUAGCAGUCUGAGGACACUUGCAGUAGAUAUCAAGCUUGGGACAUGACUGGGGUCAACAUCUAAUGCUGCCCUGAAUGAUUUUAGAGCAUCUUGGUGCAAACCCUUUGCUUCAUAGAGUAAACCUGUGGUGUGCCAUCUUGAAGCAGAGUAAGGACUAAUAGCCAUGGAUUUUGUAAGACAGACCUCAGCAUCCCGCCAUUGAGACAAACUUGUAUACACAUUAGCUAGAUCAUGCCAUGUUUCCAUUUCCAAUCUUCUGUCAUGGUUUCCCCUACUCUUUAGAAGCUUCUUUCCACCAUGAAAGGUUUUAGUUUGAACUUGGACAACACCAAGAAGAUGAGUAUAGGUCUGUAUGGCAUUCUUUAACUGGCCCUGUGCAAUCUGGAGUUUAGCUUUGGUUCGUAACAGUUCUACUUGGUCCCACUUCCCAGUCUGAUCUAGAGCAGCAUUGAUUACCGUCUCCGCAUCAAGAAACCGUUUUUGAGCUGACAAUAUUCGCGCUAAAAGG
rnacentral:misc_RNA from 1 species